GUCGGUCACCAUGCGUGUGGGGAAACACCUGGUCCCAUUCCGAACCCAGUCGUUAAGCCCUCACGGCCGAUGAUAGUCCGGGAUUUAAGCCCGGGCGAAAGUAGGUGAUGGCCGACG
rnacentral:rRNA from 1 species